ACCUUUGUUUUCUUCUUUUCUUCUUUUCUCCCAACCUUUUAUUUUCUGUCUCUCUGGUUGCUUUUACUUAUUAAAAGCACUGAUAUUUAAUUCAGCAAAAGCCCCAAUGAAGAGCCACGACUUAAGGGUCGUGAUAGAGAUGUUGCCGCUGAUGAUAACAACACCUGCAUCCUCACUGUUCUUUCCAGCACGCAAAGCUCUUUGAAUUUCGUUGUCUCAUCCCAUCCUCACAAACCUGGAGAUGCAGGCGGUAUUAUUUUUGUCACCUUCUAUGGAAACCAAGGCUCCGAGUAAGACCGCUGGUACCAGGCGACACUGAGAGAACAUGCUGUCCUGUUUUAAAAGCUAUUGCGGGUCUGAUGAAGCAGAGAUGACAAUCACAGGAGAUAGCUGAGGCUCUGGCCUGUG